GACAGAUCUGUAAAAGUAGCUACUCACCAAUCAGCCCUCCGACCAUAAAGGAAAACGCUUGGAAUAACAUGAGAAUCACUCCCAGAAUCACCAACUUUUUGGUGCUCAUAUUCUCAAUAAUUGCCCCAGCCAUUUUCAAAGUGCGUCUUCAGACAGGAUUGAAAGCAAGCAGGCGAAAUUCACGGCAUCCAGGUGGACCAGUGCGCUGCCCGAGAUUGAGAGCGCGUCUCAAACCCUAGUCAAUUGCCUGCGUUGCGCGCUUCCUAGGGAACUUUAGGGGAAAGGGAGCGACCACGUGACCCGCCCUGCAUCAGGAACUCAAGCGAGGAAAGUGCACGUGACGUCACACGGCCAGGCUCUCCGCCAGAUGUGCGAAACUUUGAGAUGGUGCUGGAGGCAAAAGCGAGUCUGAGAGAGAGACAGAGAGAGAGAGCUCCCAUGCAGAACAUGACAAUAACACAGAGCUGCUUCACUCCAGCCUCCUUCCCCUGCUAAAUGUUUAACUCUGAGGUGUAGAGGAUCAGGUAACAGUCUCCACCAAAGAACUGGCCAUAGGUCUUGGGGUCCACCGGCACACGAGCUCCUUCCUCUACACGCCAGAUCUGAUUCAGACCAACAUCACCGAUUAAUAAAACAAUCUCAUUGUGUAUCUUCCUUAUAAAAUGUACAAGCGAGAUUUAACAUUGACCUUCAAUAAUUGC
rnacentral:lncRNA from 1 species